UGUUGUCAGGGAAGAACAAGUGCCGUGCGAAUAGAGCGGCACCUUGACGGUACCUGACGAGGAAGCCCCGGCUAACUACGUGCCAGCAGCCGCGGUAAUACGUAGGGGGCAAGCGUUGUCCGGAAUUAUUGGGCGUAAAGCGCGCGCAGGCGGUUUCUUAAGUCUGAUGUGAAAGCCCACGGCUCAACCGUGGAGGGUCAUUGGAAACUGGGGAACUUGAGUACAGAAGAGGAGAGUGGAAUUCCACGUGUAGCGGUGAAAUGCGUAGAUAUGUGGAGGAACACCAGUGGCGAAGGCGACUCUCUGGUCUGUAACUGACGCUGAGGCGCGAAAGCGUGGGGAGCAAACAGGAUUAGAUACCCUGGUAGUCCACGCCGUAAACGAUGAGUGCUAGGUGUUAGGGGGCUUCCACCCCUUAGUGCUGAAGUUAACGCAUUAAGCACUCCGCCUGGGGAGUACGGCCGCAAGGCUGAAAACUCA
rnacentral:rRNA from 1 species